UACGUAGGGGGCGAGCGUUGUCCGGAAUCAUUGGGCGUAAAGAGCGUGUAGGCGGCUUGGCAAGUCUGACGUGAAAGCCCGCGGCUCAACCGCGGAUUGUCGUUGGAAACUGCCUCGCUAGAGUCCGGAAGAGGAGAGCGGAAUUCCUGGUGUAGCGGUGGAAUGCGCAGAUAUCAGGAAGAACACCCGUGGCGAAGGCGGCUCUCUGGGGACGGUACUGACGCUGAGACGCGAAAGCGUGGGGAGCGAACAGG
rnacentral:rRNA from 1 species